rnacentral:snRNA from 1 species
AUACUUACCUGGCGUAGACAACUCCGAGAUCUAUAAUUCGGAUUGUCCAGAGUGAGACCUUUUCAUUGCACUACGAUUGGGUUGACCUUUGCGAUUAUCCCUAAUUGGGGUAACUCGGGCGCAUAAUUUUUGUUAGUGGGGGGUCAGCGUUCGCGCUACCCCUG